AAAAUCGUCAGCGAAGAUGGAGAAUACACUGCGGACACGUUGGAUUAAACAGCAAAUUCUGAGGAUUAGUGGACAGUCGUGAACAGACCGUGUUGCGUUCCAAUCUAACAGCACUGGCUCGCGAGUAAAGGUCGAACUAAUUAAUUAUUGUGAAACAGGCUGCUCAAAAGCCGCUCUGAGGACACAGCGGCAAGUACACACAACCAUGUUUGAACGUGUGUUCGAUUAAGGAGACAGAGUUCAUGGAUUUUGAGGGUUGAAUUAAUUUUGACAAUAUGGUGUUUGUUGAUUUUCAAAUUGAUGCCUCAAGGUUUACUAUUAAAGUUAAAUUACUUCUGGGAAGCCUGUUUAAUUAUUUGAUAAAUUAAAAGCUCCGUAUUUGUAAGAAAAUAAUCCUUCGACGGAGUAAAAUCAUUUAAUCGGUCGUUUGAGCGGAUAUGAUAAAAGUUUUGGCAUAGUUAAGUUAAACAAAUAAAGUCAUCCCUCUUCCAACAGUAGGAAUCUUGUAAACGAGAGUCGUUUGUGAAAGGGGAUUCGAACGACAUUGUUCUCCACGCCAGGUAGCUUGAAUACAGCUAAGAAAGGGUUUCUACCAUGCCUAAAGCCACACGUUCUACUUUCUGUUGUUUGAGGGCGCCACGUCUCUCGCAUGACACCUCGACAAAAGACACGAUAUAUUGCACGAAACUGCUUCUACUUACCCCUCGACGUAGCUACGAGGAGAACGAAUCCGGAGAAACGUUCGCGUGAUAAAUGUUUUGGUAUAAUCUGAAUCGUAUUUCUCCUAUCUUACAUGCAUUUCGCUCGAUUCGAUUCGAGUUCGUUCAACUCGAAGUCUCGAAGAUAGCAAACUAGAACUUCUACUCUAUUUCGUAACAAAUCCAUUUCAAAAUUGUAGAUACGAUCGAAAAAUUUGAUAUAUUGACUAUUCUGCCGUAAUGGAGCAACUUGCUUCCGAGAAAGGUACAUGUUUCUAACAGGGAUGGGCGUCAACAUCCACAGAUUUAUCUGCUAAAUCUACGAACAGAGAAAAUAUGAUGUCGCCCAUCGCGUGUACGUUCACGGAACACGUGACCUCAGAGUGCAAUCCAACGGCAACACGUACUCUGACACUUUACUCGUCGAUAUUCCACGAUUCAAACUUUCUUUCCCUUUGAAACAACCCGCUCUACCAAGAUAAUACGCGUGUUUCAUUUAUACAAUUAAGCACGAUGUUAUUUUUCUGGCUAAUUAAAGUCGCUAUAUUCGCGAACAAGACGAAGGACUACCAUGUUCACCACGGUUUGCGAUUAAGUCUUAACAAGCAAUAACGCUCGAACAAGUUCAUUACACGGCGCUUGUCACACGUUAGAUGUCCACGUAGAUUUCCUCGACGCCUAACGCGUGUCGUUCAUAGACAAACGGAACACAUGAUAGAGCGAAAGGGAUGAAGCGAAAGAGGGAACGCGAAAGAGGAAUCGGUAGAUCGAGAGAGAAGGAAGGUAAGUGCACAAGUCCAGCUCGUGUAUGAAUCGCAGACAACCGUGCAACGAAAUACAACGUGUAGAGUGGGGUUGCGUGAUUAUCGACCCCUCGUUGCCUCGGCUUUUGUAGCAGGGAUGCAGCUGCCCCUUUUACCCCGCCCUGAACAGUUGGGUUUCUCGUCGACGAACUUCAGCCAUCCAACAGCUAGAGAGACUACGAGUGGUUCUCAUGCGAGCCACUACUGUUCAAUGGUAACUAAAAGAGAGAAAGAGACCCUUUCGCGUGUCGUUCAUGGUCGUCUCAUAAUCAGAGAGAUGAAGAUAAUGUUUCGGGGUAGCGUGGAGAAUAAAGUACAGUGGAAGCGAUAGCCGAAAGAAAGCGGCAAUAAAGACGAUUUAAUGACGGAGAUAAUUGGUAGUUGAUGCAUUUGGAGAUCGUAGAGUCGACUUGUAUUUGGUAAUAAUUGCAGGUUCGCGAAACUUGUCGGAAAGUUGGUAAGCAUUACUUAUCGGCAGAUACGUUUAAUUAUCUCGAGGAGCCAGAGUCGCAGGGAACGGGAUUAAUAACUCUACAACUCCUCUCGUUACCAAAGUACAGUUCGCGAGGAUUACGCAACGAUAAUUUGUCUGGAGAGACGAAUUCGCGACAGUGGUGACACGAAACGAGCGAUUAAGUUCUGCCUGUGAUUCGAAAUCGAAGCGAUCAUUUACAUAACUCUCCGCGUUGAGGCUUCUUUCUAUCGCCGAUCUAACGCUAUUGAGAAACACUGACACUCGAUAAUCAGAUCUCGGUGGUUUGGGUAAAAGACCAAGGUGGUCGACCUUGACAAUUGCGGCGUUACAUCGAUAUUUUAUUUUUGGAGCAGCCAUUCUGGAUAUCUCGACAAUGGCGAAAACGUGAAUAAGCGUUUCUCUAUACGUCUGUCGUUGCUCUACAGUUCACCACGUUACUUGCCCUCGGUUGUCUUUUACUUUCUCAAUAUUUCACCCACGAAAGAAAACAUAAACGAAGGAAACGUAGCUAAUUAUCCACGAAUGAUCAGAUCCCUAGGGAACCGAUUAUGCGGCUGCAUCGAAUUAGGUAUAGAUACGCCACAAAGAAGCAUCCCUCUUCUACCUCCGUGAUACGUAAUAAUUUCCUGAUUUCAUCAAACGUCCAAUUUCUUAUGCAAAUCCACCGUGAUCGUGGAUAUUGACUAUUCGGAGACGACCACGCCUUUGGAAAACGUCCGAACGAAAAUAGACGAGCCACGCAUGUACGUAAAACGUCAAGGUCCAGAGUUAGAAUCUCUUCUCGUUGAAAUACCAAUCGUUCUCCAAUAAAACACUGACUUACGAAACACGGUCGCGUAGAAUUAUUAAGCGGCUAACCGAUCGAUAGUUAAAGGACACGCGACGAACCGUAAUUUUGCAAAAUAAGCCGGAAAAAGUCAACAGCAGGUAGAUCAACCGAUCGGUAAACGAAACAAAACCUUGAAGGUCGCUUAGUCAGCGCGAAAACGUCUGGAAAUCGGUAACGCGAUGCCGUCAGUGUAUCCAGGCGCCUGGUGGAGUCACGAUAGCGUGGAACUAUCGUCGUUCUUGCUAAGAAAAGAAGUGGAAAGAUACCGGUCUUUCGAUCUUGGGGAUGACUCGAACCGAUAGAUAAGAAAUCUAGUCAAUAGCGAAGAAGUUAAAUUCGCAAAUAACAGUAUCGAGAUUGUCUGACAGAAGUUUGGAUGCAAAAUACGAAGGGACUAAUUUUCUUAAUUAAUCGUUUCAUUUCAGAAAUUUAUCGCGAUGCCUGCUGGUGGUGGGCCUCCGCGAAGAUCGAUCGACCUUGACGCGAAAACCUUUAACAGAGUGGAACUCUGCUCAACGUUUCAACGGAUAUAUUUUUAAUGCCGUUAAAAUAGAAAAUAUUCGGUCUUCUGCGCAAAUUUAUAGUUACGUUAACGACUCAGCACAAUCGUGUGAGAUUGGUGAAAACUACUCAGAGAAACCUUAGUCGAUUGCUCCAGGAUAUGUAAAUUAUGGGGUAUUAUGUAUGCACGCGCAUGCGUGUACGUAUGUGUGUGCAUGUUUUGAACAGGUAGCUGGAUUAUCGCUUGCAAAAUUUCUCUCGUAUAACGCGACAUGCAUAUCCGAGCAUAAUCGUAAAUGAAGCAACUCUCUCGCGUUCACUUGUACGUUUAACCUUUUGGAGUUUAACACGUGCGGAGCAAAAAACUAAAUAAAAACAAGCACUUACCAUA